rnacentral:ribozyme from 1 species
UGCCCAGCAACUCCUAUCCCUACCUCCACGCGGUACCGGCCGGAAACUAUGAGCAACUUUAGGGAAGAUCGGGUAACCAACCCCGGUGGGAACUUUGGUCGUAGGCUAACAGGGAAGG